AGUGAACGCUGGCGGUAGGCCUAACACAUGCAAGUCGAACGGCAGCACAGUAAGAGCUUGCUCUUACGGGUGGCGAGUGGCGGACGGGUGAGGAAUACAUCGGAAUCUACUUUUUCGUGGGUGAUAACGUAGGGAAACUUACGCUAAUACCGCAUACGACCUACGGGUGAAAGCAGGGGAUCUUCGGACCUUGCGCGAUUGAAUGAGCCGAUGUCGGAUUAGCUAGUUGGCGGGGUAAAGGCCCACCAAGGCGACGAUCCGUAGCUGGUCUGAGAGGAUGAUCAGCCACACUGGAACUGAGACACGGUCCAGACUCCUACGGGAGGCAGCAGUGGGGAAUAUUGCACAAUGGGCGCAAGCCUGAUCCAGCCAUACCGCGUGAGUGAAGAAGGCCUUCGGGUUGUAAAGCCCUUUUGUUGGGAAAGAACAGCAGCAGGUUAAUCCCCCGCUGUUCUGACGGUACCCAAAGAAUAAGCCCCGGCUAACUUCGUG
rnacentral:rRNA from 1 species